rnacentral:rRNA from 1 species
GGGUGAGGAAUACAUCGGAAUCUGCCUUAUCGUGGGGGAUAACGUAGGGAAACUUACGCUAAUACCGCAUACGACCUACGGGUGAAAGCGGGGGAUCGCAAGACCUCGCGCGAUAAGAUGAGCCGAUGUCGGAUUAGCUAGUUGGCGGGGUAAAGGCCCACCAAGGCGACGAUCCGUAGCUGGUCUGAGAGGAUGAUCAGCCACACUGGAACUGAGACACGGUCCAGACUCCUACGGGAGGCAGCAGUGGGGAAUAUUGGACAAUGGGCGCAAGCCUGAUCCAGCCAUGCCGCGUGGGUGAAGAAGGCCUUCGGGUUGUAAAGCCCUUUUGUCCGGAAAGAAAAGCACUGGAUUAAUACUUCGGUGUUCUGACGGUACCGGAAGAAUAAGCACCGGCUAACUUCGUGCCAGCAGCCGCGGUAAUACGAAGGGUGCAAGCGUUACUCGGAAUUACUGGGCGUAAAGCGUGCGUAGGUGGUUCGUUAAGUCUGAUGUGAAAGCCCUGGGCUCAACCUGGGAAUUGCACUGGAUACUGGCGGGCUAGAGUGCGGUAGAGGAUGGCGGAAUUCCCGGUGUAGCAGUGAAAUGCGUAGAGAUCGGGAGGAACAUCUGUGGCGAAGGCGGCCAUCUGGACCAGCACUGACACUGAGGCACGAAAGCGUGGGGAGCAAACAGGAUAAA